rnacentral:rRNA from 1 species
UACGAAGGGGGCUAGCGUUGCUCGGAAUCACUGGGCGUAAAGGGCGCGUAGGCGGACUUUUAAGUCAGGGGUGAAAUCCUGAGGCUCAACCUCAGAACUGCCUUUGAUACUGAGGGUCUCGAGACCGGUAGAGGUAAGUGGAACUGCGAGUGUAGAGGUGAAAUUCGUAGAUAUUCGCAAGAACACCAGUGGCGAAGGCGGCUUACUGGACCGGUUCUGACGCUGAGGCACGAAAGCUAGGGGAGCGAACGGG